rnacentral:rRNA from 1 species
AGUUUGAUCCUGGCUCAGAUUGAACGCUGUCGGCAGGCCUAACACAUGCAAGUCGAGCGGCAGCGGGAAGUAGCUUGCUACUUUGCCGGCGAGCGGCGGACGGGUGAGUAAUGUCUGGGAAACUGCCUGAUGGAGAGGGAUAACUACUGGAAACGGUAGCUAAUACCGCAUAACGUCGCAAGACCAAAGAGGGGGACCUUCGGGCCUCUUGCCAUCAGAUGUGCCCAGAUGGGAUUAGCUAGUAGGUGGGGUAAUGGCUCACCUAGGCGACGAUCCCUAGCUGGUCUGAGAGGAUGACCAGCCACACUGGAACUGAGACACGGUCCAGACUCCUACGGGAGGCAGCAGUGGGGAAUAUUGCACAAAUGGGGCGCAAGCCUGAUGCAGCCUUGCCGCGUGUAUGAAGAAAGGCCUUCGGGUUGGUAAGGUACUUUCAGCGGGGAAGGAAGGCGAUAAGGUUAAUAACCUUGUCAAUUGACGUUUACCCCGCAAAAAAACCCCCGGCUAACUCCGGGCCAGCAGCCGGGGUAAUACGGAGGGUGGCAGCCUUAAUCGAUUUCCGGGGCGUAAAGCCCCCCCCGGGCGGUCUGUCCAGCCGGAUGGGAAAUCCCCCGGGUCCACCUGGGAACUGCUUUCAAAUGGGCAGGCUAAAUUCUUG